rnacentral:rRNA from 1 species
UACGUAGGUGACAAGCGUUGUCCGGAUUUACUGGGCGUAAAGAGCGCGCAGGCGGUCGUUCAAGUCGAGUAUGAAAGCCCCCGGCUCAACUGGGGAGGGUCAUUCGAUACUGAUCGACUCGAAGGCAGGAGAGGGUAGUGGAAUUCCCGGUGUAGUGGUGAAAUGCGUAGAUAUCGGGAGGAACACCAGUGGCGAAGGCGACUACCUGGCCUGUUCUUGACGCUGAGGCGCGAAAGCUAGGGGAGCAAACGGG